GACGAACGCUGGCGGCGUGCUUAACACAUGCAAGUCGAACGAAGUGGCGAACGGGUGAGUAACGCGUAAUCAACCUGCCCUUCAGAGGGGGACACCAGUUGGAAACGACUGCUAAUACCGCAUACUGAAGGAGGGGAUUGCGUCUGAUUGGCUAGUGGGGGGGGUAACGGCCCACCAAGGCGAUGAUCAGUAGCCGGGCUGAGAGGAUGGACGGCCACAAUGGGACUGGGAAACGGCCCAGACGCCUACGGGAGGCAGCAGUGGGGAAGCGUCCGCAAUGGACGAAAGUCUGACGGAGCAACGCCGGGGGAGUGAUGACGGCCUUCGGGUUGGAAAGCUCUGUUAAUCGGGACGCGGUACCGGAAUAGAAAGCCACGGCUAACUACGUGCCAGCCGCCGCGGUAAUAC
rnacentral:rRNA from 1 species